UGUUGGGUAUUAAUAAAAUUAUAGAAACAUUCUUUGUUAAGGAUUCUUAGGCUAUUCUUUCAAUUCCUUUAAGUUUCAGAUCGAGUCCAGAUAAGCUCAUAUGGGAAAUUCAUAACAAGGGUAUUUUUGUUGUGAAAACAUGUUACUACUGGUGCCAAAAAAUAUUAGGAAGAGUGGGUGACAUAGUUGAUGGAAGUUUUUAGCAUAAUUUAUGGCAUGUAAAGGUUCCACCAAAAGCUAAAGAGUUUAUAUGGAGAGCUUUAAGAGAUAUUUUACCUACAAAAGCAAAUUUAUUUACAAAAGGAGUGAAUGUGGACAUACUUUGUUAUUUUUGUCAUGAGGUGGAAGUUGUUAAUCAUAUUUGUAGAAAUGUUUUAAAGUAAGAGAAAUAUGGCAUUAUUUUGGAUUUCCAAAACCACAUUAUUCUUGUACUUUUAAAGCAUAUUUUGUUAGAAUUUUUCUAUCUUCUGCUCAUGAAAGGAUUGCUGAAUUGUUUUCAUCACUUGGAAGCUUUGGUAUUUCAGGAACCAAUUUCUUUGGCAUAAUGUUCAGCUUACUACUGUUGAGAUUUGCAACAAUAUUUGUCUCUCUUUGCAAGAUUGGAGGUCCUCUCUUUCUUUUCAUACUUCUAUACAUGUGCUGCCGUAAUUCCCAGCAUAUGUUGGGUUUUGGGGCAAUAUUUGAAAGCCAAGAGGGUGUGUUCAAAGCAGCUAUCUCCAGCAGUUUCAACAUUUAUGGUGCGGCUAUUUUGACAGAGGCUUUGGCCUUAUGAUCCACUCUUUUUUGGGCUGUUGAUAAUAUGCUUAGUUCAAGAUGUAUAUAUAUAGUGAUUGUCGAUCUUUAGUUCUUGCAUUGUCCUCCACUGUUUGUGAUGCUUCUGAUUUAGGUAAGGUUGUGGAUGAUUGUAAGUUGUUGUUAAGACAGUGUAGAUAUUAUAAUUCGUUGGAUUUCUAGACAAGUUAAUAUAGGUGCUCAUAGUUUAGCCAAAA